rnacentral:rRNA from 1 species
ACACGUAGGGGGCGAGCGUUGUUCGGAAUCAUUGGGCGUAAAGGGCGUGCAGGCGGUCCUGCAAGUCCGGCGUGAAAGACCCCGGCCCAACCGGGGGGACGCGCUGGAAACUGCAGGGCUUGAGUACAGGAGGGGAUGCCGGAAUUCCAGGUGUAGGGGUGAAAUCUGAAGAUAUCUGGAAGAACACCAAUGGCGAAGGCAGGCAGCUGGCAAUGUGCUGACGCUGAGACGCGAAGGUGCGGGGAGCAAACAGGUUUAGAUACCCUGGUAGUCCGCACAGUAAACGAUGUGCACGAGGUGGCGGGGGGUCGACCCCCGGUACCGUAGCUAACGCAUUAAGUGCACCGCCUGGGGAGUAUGCUCGCAAGGGUGAAACUCAAAUGAAUUGACGGGG